rnacentral:rRNA from 1 species
UACGUAGGGGGCAAGCGUUGUCCGGAAUCAUUGGGCGUAAAGCGCGUGUAGGCGGCUUGGUAAGUCCGUUCUGAAAGCCCGGGGCUCAACCCCGGGAGGCGGAUGGAUACUGCUGAGCUCGAGUCCGGAAGAGGCGAGUGGAAUUCCUGGUGUAGCGGUGAAAUGCGUAGAUAUCUGGAGGAAUACCGGUGGCGAAGGCGGCAUCCUGGACCGACAUUGACGCUGAACGGCGAAAGCUAGGGGAGCAAACGGG